GAUGAACGCUGGCGGCGUGCCUAAUACAUGCAAGUCGAGCGAACGGACGAGAAGCUUGCUUUUCUGAUGUUAGCGGCGGACGGGUGAGUAACACGUGGAUAACCUACCUAUAAGACUGGGAUAACUUCGGGAAACCGGAGCUAAUACCGGAUAAUAUUUUGAACCGCAUGGUUCAAAAGUGAAAGACGGUCUUGCUGUCACUUAUAGAUGGAUCCGCGCUGCAUUAGCUAGUUGGUAAGGUAACGGCUUACCAAGGCAACGAUGCAUAGCCGACCUGAGAGGGUGAUCGGCCACACUGGAACUGAGACACGGUCCAGACUCCUACGGGAGGCAGCAGUAGGGAAUCUUCCGCAAUGGGCGAAAGCCUGACGGAGCAACGCCGCGUGAGUGAUGAAGGUCUUCGGAUCGUAAAACUCUGUUAUUAGGGAAGAACAUAUGUGUAAGUAACUGUGCACAUCUUGACGGUACCUAAUCAGAAAGCCACGGCUAACUACGUGCCAGCAGCCGCGGUAAUACGUAGGUGGCAAGCGUUAUCCGGAAUUAUUGGGCGUAAAGCGCGCGUAGGCGGUUUUUUAAGUCUGAUGUGAAAGCCCACGGCUCAACCGUGGGGGGUCAUUGGAAACUGGAAAACUUGAGUGCAGAAGAGGAAAGUGGAAUUCCAUGUGUAGCGGUGAAAUGCGCAGAGAUAUGGAGGAACACCAGUGGCGAAGGCGACUUUCUGGUCUGUAACUGACGCUGAUGUGCGAAAGCGUGGGGAUCAAACAGGAUUAGAUACCCUGGUAGUCCACGCCGUAAACGAUGAGUGCUAAGUGUUAGGGGGUUUCCGCCCCUUAGUGCUGCAGCUAACGCAUUAAGCACUCCGCCUGGGGAGUACGACCGCAAGGUUGAAACUCAAAGGAAUUGACGGGGACCCGCACAAGCGGUGGAGCAUGUGGUUUAAUUCGAAGCAACGCGAAGAACCUUACCAAAUCUUGACAUCCUUUGACAACUCUAGAGAUAGAGCCUUCCCCUUCGGGGGACAAAGUGACAGGUGGUGCAUGGUUGUCGUCAGCUCGUGUCGUGAGAUGUUGGGUUAAGUCCCGCAACGAGCGCAACCCUUAAGCUUAGUUGCCAUCAUUAAGUUGGGCACUCUAAGUUGACUGCCGGUGACAAACCGGAGGAAGGUGGGGAUGACGUCAAAUCAUCAUGCCCCUUAUGAUUUGGGCUACACACGUGCUACAAUGGACAAUACAAAGGGCAGCGAAACCGCGAGGUCGAGCAAAUCCCAUAAAGUUGUUCUCAGUUCGGAUUGUAGUCUGCAACUCGACUACAUGAAGCUGGAAUCGCUAGUAAUCGUAGAUCAGCAUGCUACGGUGAAUACGUUCCCGGGUCU
rnacentral:rRNA from 1 species